CCUACGGGAGGCUGCAGUGAGGAAUAUUGGUCAAUGGACGCAAGUCUGAACCAGCCAUGCCGCGUGCAGGAAGACGGCUCUAUGAGUUGUAAACUGCUUUUGUACGAGGGUAAACGCAGAUACGCGUAUCUGUCUGAAAGUAUCGUACGAAUAAGGAUCGGCUAACUCCGUGCCAGCAGCCGCGGUAAUACGGAGGAUUCAAGCGUUAUCCGGAUUUAUUGGGUUUAAAGGGUGCGUAGGUGGUCUGAUAAGUUAGAGGUGAAAUCCCGAGGCUCAACUUCGGAAUUGCCUUUGAUACUGUUCGUCUAGAGUGUAGGUGCGGUAGGCGGAAUGCAGGGUGUAGCGGUGAAAUGCUUAGAUAUCAUGCAGAACUCCGAUUGCGAAGGCAGCUUACCAAGCUGCUUCUGACGUUGAGGCACGAAAGCGUGGGGAGCAAACAGGAUUAGAUACCCUUGUAGUC
rnacentral:rRNA from 1 species